GGGCUGUAUAAGUAUGGUACAGACUGAUGGCAUUAGUCAGUUGUCAUAAGCAUUUGUCAAUAGUUAAGAGAAUUAAAUACUUUGAAAUUUUGAUUUGCUUCCUGCCAUAGUUGCCAAUAGGGACUGGAGUAAAAAAUGUGUGUUUAUUUUUGAAUGGACCUCAGACACAACAUAUUGGCCUUCAUAAUUGACGUUUCGUUUAUUUUAAGAAUUAUCUGAGACAACAAAAAAUGGUUGACGAAUUUCUGUUUUUAAAAUCACUAACUCAAUACUCGCUAUAUUUAAUUAUAGGUAGCACUAAUUUUUUUAGCGCUUUAAAAAAAACAUAUCUUUAAUCACAGAAAUGACAUGACUAAUACUUUUAAAACCCUUUUUAUUUUCUUAAACUUAACAUGUAAUUAUAUGGAAAACAUAGACUACAGAUGCAAUAUAGGAGAAGACAAAGUUCCAGUAGCGCCAUCACUCGUAAGCUAUUGUUCCAUAUUUGUUUCAGUUAUUCUCUUUAACAACAAGCCUAAUCAAUAUUUACAGCUUCAGUUAAGAUUGAAACAAUUGGAACUGGAAACUAAAUUUAAAUAGCUGAGAAAUCAGUAUGGCAACCACGUCGUAACUCUGUCCGUUCUGUAAUUUUGUUUUUACAGUGAUCACUUGCCGUUUGAUAAAAUGCUUAACAGAAGUACCUGCCUUUCUUGUCAAUCAAUUUUAAAAUUUUAUAAAUUACUGUAACUGGACGUUUCAGAUUCUGGGUAUCGUGAAUUGUGUCAUUGAGAUAUGAAGAAAAGAAAAAGAUGUGAUCUUUUGAAACGAUUCUUGAUAGUGAAGUAACUGAAAAUAUGCUGAGAAUGAGAUCAUCAGUAUAGAUGAUAGUCCAUGGAUAGGGUAACGUGAGUUAGAAGUGCUGAAGUUCGUUAACAUAGUUAUGCAGAUGCCUAUGAGAAAAACAGUUUUAACGGAUUUAUAGCAGAAGCUGGGCAGCACAGAGGCAGAAGCAAAAAGGAGAGAGAGGAAGUAGAAGCAAAGAAGAAGAAAAACCUUCUUUAGGGAAACAAUCAUGUUGAAUAUGUUAUUCUGUAGGUGAACACUGUUAGUAUGUUUCAGAUGCUUAAAUUGGCUGCACAUUCAAAAUGUUUACGAGGAUUAUCUAGCUUGUCGAACUCUGGUUUCCAUAGGCUUAUGAACUGGUUAGAUGCACUAUCAAAAUGUUUACAAGGAUUAUCUAGCUUGUCGAACUCUGGUUUCCAUAGGCUUAUGAACUGGUUAGAUAUUCGGGAAUUCUACUUUAUGAUCCUGAGACUAUUUGGCACUGUUCAUUGUUUUUUAGCUUAUUUGCACUAUACUGGCAUGAUUUUUUUUUUCUGUGGCUUCUGUAGUACAGAUUAUGUAGGACUGAUAUCUUGAUUUGAAUGGGUUGUAAAAGUUUCUUCUUAUGUAAUGUCAGAUCUGAUGGAAACAUUGCAUGUGCUGGUCAUAUUGCCAUUCAGUCGCUUUGUGCUUCUCAGUGUGACUUCUCUGACAAGGUUAGUUUCUGGAUUUCAGUUACUUAUAAUGUGACUUGUUUAUGAGAAAUAUGUUUUCCGAUAAGAGAAAUCACCUAACUCUUUUCCCCACUGGUGGAAUUUGCCUGAUUACUGUAUCUCAUAAUUGACUUCUAUCUUCUAGAGAGAGUAAGAAGUAAGCAAAAGAUUUGGCUUCAUUGAAGAUAAAAGACUUCCCAUUUCAAUAUUUGAGAAGCUACUCAUAAUUCAUUAUAUACUCUCUAAAGCAAUGUUUCACAAGAAGAAAUGAAACUCACCAUUUCAUGCUCAAAGUAUCAUCAAUACUAGAAUUGUAUGAAGUAAAACACUUAAUCAUUCUGCUUUAAGGGUCUUAGCAACAUCAAUGACAAAACGGUAUUUACCAUCAGCCUUGGCGAGACGCUCCAUUGCAGUAUUUACAUAAUCCAUCGGAAUGACUUCAAUAUCUGCUGUUAUAUUGUGUUUUGCAGCAAAAUCAAGCAUUUCUUGCGUCUCUUUCAUCCCUCCUAUCCCACUUCCAGCUACAAGCUUCCUCCCUGUCAUAAUAUGUAGUAACUCUCAACUUAUACAUUUCUAGGAGCUAAAAAAGAGUUUAAUAUGAGACAGUAAUUACACGAAAAUUAAGCUUCCUCCCUGUUAUAAUAUGCAAUCCUCAACUUACUUACACUACUACCAACUAAAAGAUUUUAAAUAUGAGAUGAUUUAACACAUUCCUUGCAUGGUCAACCCAAAAUCUAUACUCUGAGAGUAAUCAACUCACCCAUAAGCAGUGGAAAGACUGGUAGCUCGAGGGGUUUUUCAAGUGCACCGAGCAAGAUAAGCUUCCCAUUAGUCUUCAAUAGCCCAACCAAUGGUAGGACAGGGUGAGUAGCAGAGAUUGUAUCGAGAACGCCAUCCAUUGUGCCCAUAACAGCCUAUAAACACAGGAACCACUGUUGAGUACUACAAUGAUAUUCCAUAACAAUAGAUAUUGGUUCUUAUUUUAAGUGAUGUCACUCCAGACCCCACCUGGUGGGAGUAUACUGGGUAGUUGUUGUUGUUUAAGUGAUGUCACAAUUUAAUGCGCCUAUUGCUGAAAAGACACAAUAUUUUGUAAAAAGGUGUAUCACAUCUUCUUUAAUGUGCCUAUUGCUGAAAAGACACAAUAUUUUGUAGAAGGAUGUAUCGAAUCUUUGAGAACACGUCUAUUCAUUAAUGGAAGAGAUGUAUCCAUCUUCCAUAUUACCUUGGCUUCCCCUAACUUUAUCCUAUAAUUCUUUGUCGUUUCUCGCUCCUCAAAAGUGUCUUAUCCAAAUUACAAAAGCACUUGAAGAUUAAAGAGUUAUUUGGAGCUUCUAUUUAAGUGCACAUUAGAAGAUUCUUGAGUGGUUAGUUAUAGUUUAGGAGUAGGACGUCAUUUGGCUGAUGCACUUAUCUAUAUGGAGACAUUCUUAUUUGACUUUGACUCAGCUGGAACUGGCUGGCUUCUGUUUUUGAUGGCGCUUCUCUAUGGAAUCUUGUUCUUACUGCCUUCCUAAAGAGCUAUGCGACGUCACAGAUCAAGCUUUCCGAGUUGUUUAUUUCCAGAGUCCUCAAUAGCGUGCCUCAAACCAGUUUUCUUGCAUCCCCAAUUUUAUCCUUUCAUUUAUCUUUAGCUAUUGCAUCUUAUAAGUCGUAAAGUGUUUGUCUAGUUAAGACAUUCAUCUUAAGCAUUUAUCCAACAAUAGAUGGUGGACAGAAAGAGUGAAAGAUCAGACGUAGUUACCUGCAGCUGAUCCGGAUCAGUGCUGAUAAAAAACGAAUCAGCACCAAGAUGUUCAAUGGCUUCCUUCUGUUUAUUUUGAGAUGUACUAAUUACCGUCACCUUUAGCCCUAAAGCCUUGGCAAACUUGACACCAACAUGACCAAGUCCACCACGACCUACUACACCAAUAUGAAGACCUGGUUUAUCUAGUCCAAAUUAUCUCAACGGGCUGUAGGUUGUAAUCCCAGCACAAAGGAGAGGGUCAGCAGCAGCUAGGGGCAUGUUUUCUGGGACAUGAACGACAAAAUGUUCAUCAACAACAAUCAUGUCCGAGUAGCGUCCAUACGUUGGUGUUCCAUCAUGGUUGGUUGCACAGUAGGUAGCUAUUCCCUUCGAACAAUAGUUCUCAAGAUCAUUGGUGCAGUUUUCACAAGACCGACAUGAUUCAACUAGGCACCCCACACCAACUUUCUCCCCAACUUCAAAUUUCUCCACCUUGCUACCAACCUCAGUUACUUCACCGACAAUCUCAUGUCUGCAUCCGUCAUAAGAGUUAGAAUUCAAAUUUUAAUUACGAAAGCAAAUAGAGCCAUUGAAUUUGAAGGUUGCAGGAAUGAUCCCUAACUGAGCCAAAAACACUUAGACCUUAGGCAAGAACUAUUAAUGUUUGAGUUAUUCGAUACGCUUACUGUCUAAAAGAAUUUUUACACUAUCAAGUCACAUAACCAAUAACUACCAGUAACGAUCCAUACAAAGUGGGACUAGUAACAUGGAGAUAAGCCAGGUUACUAGCUAGAAGAGGUUAAAAUAUGCUGAUGGUGUAAUAUCUCUUUAUAGCGUUAGUACUUAUAAGUUAAAUCCUAAUGUUUUGACAAAGGACAAUUUUUUCCCAUGGAAGCAUAAAUGACCUUGCUAAUAUCCACUCAGCUCCCAUUUCACAUGGUUUCUAUAACUCAAAAAUUAGUUCAAGGGAAUCAUAGUUCAAUUUAUUUUUCUCUGAACUUCACACAGUUUCUGCAACAACUUCUCAUGUAUUAGAUCAGGGGAACUCUUGUCCACCUCACAGCUGUAACGUUUAAAAUGUAACUGUUAAGAGGUUAUGUCCUGGUUAAAUUAAAUCUAUGGUGGUGCCAUAGGUCAAGAGCAAUAUUAUACAACAACAACCACAACUACCCAGUAUAGUCCCACAAAGUGGGGUCUGGGGAGGGUAAUAUGUAAUAUUAUAAAUAUUACUUAUUAACAACUACCCAGUAUAGUCCCACAAAGUGGGGUCUGGGGAGGGUAAUAUGUAGGGUCUGGGGAGGGUAAUAUGUAAUAUUAUAAAUAUGCAAAUAUGUGGUAAAUAUCUGAAGCUAGCAAAAGAGUUCUGCAUAUGUAUGAAAUAUAAUACUUUCAAGAUUCUAAAAUUGAGACCAUACCCUGGGACCAUAGGAUAUUGAGAAAAUCCCCAAUCAUUUUUCAGUUGAUGAAGAUCAGUAUGACAGAUACCACAAUAAAGAAUCUUCAAUUUCACAUCCUUAUCACCAGUUGCCCUACAAACACAUCAUGUGAAACCAAAGAAAAUCACAAACAUUAACCAAGAUGAUCCUUUAACCUUAAUUUGAUCAAAUCAAAAUCUUGUCCUCAUCACAAAAAAAAAAUGAUAUCUUAGAUAAAAUCAAUUACCUUCUGGAAAAUUUAAAGGGGGAAAGUAACCCUGAAGUGUCUUUAGCUGCCCAACCAAAAGCCUUAACAGGGUGCACUUCCUCUGGUGAUUUCUCCAUAGUAAUUCUUGAAUUUCCUCUUUUCUUUUAGUUGAAUAAGUUAAAGGAAAAAUGGGUGGUUCAGCUAAUAUUAUUAUCGGUAGUGGAACACUGAAAAUAAGUGAAAUAAAGUGCAAGUGAUGGGCUGUUUGUUAAUGGUGUACAAGUAUGGCAAAUUGAUGUCAUUGGUGAUGUGUUACAGAAUUAGGAGGGUGUUUGGAUUGCUUAUUUUCAGUGUUUAUUAAUUUUUAAGUAUUUUUUAAUUUUUGUGGUAUUCGAUAAUGACAAAAAAAAGCUUAUUUUUUAGCAUAAAAAAUAUAAAAAUAAGCCAAAAGUUAAAAAAUAAGAAUUACCAACUUAUUACUUUUAAUUUUUAUCUUAAAAAUUACUUUUUAAAAGCCAAUUCAGACGCCCUCUAAAUUCUUGAAAAGUUGCUUUUGCUUCCUUUCGAUGGUUGCCAAUAUGUACUGGUAAUUAUGGACAAUAGAAAAAGUGUUCAUUUGAAUAGUGACAUAUUGGCCAUCUUAAAUGAUGUAGUAGUAAUAAUUCUUUAAAACAUAAUUUGGACACGUGUGACAUCUUUGUUAUUACCGUCAUUAUCUUUAUCAUUUUCAAAGAAAAAGAAGUUAAUAGAAUAAACUUUAGUAGCUGACUUAAAAAAUGGUGGACAGAACUCAAUAUUUCGUUUUCAAACAGGCGGAUCUUGGAUUUUUAUGUGCCACUAAAGAAAUGGAGAAAAAAUCAAUAUCAAGUGAGAAUUGUUUCCUGUUCAUUUGGGUAAUUAACUAGGACCUAGUAUUAAAAACUAAAUAAAUUAUUCGACCCGAUUAGUCUCCCAAACUUGAGGAACCCCCAGUUUGAGGAUUUACAAAUAUAAAAAUUAAAACACAUUAGUUAUCGAUUUGGUUAUUCAUUUUCUAAGUGGAUAAUAUGGUUCUUAUCCAUAUUCUACCCGUUUUUAAAAAGUUCAUUAUCUAAUUUAUUUUUUAAUGGAUAAACCACGCCUGGAUAACUAUUUUCUUUUAACUAUUUUGCCACCUUUAAACUAGGUAUUCAAUCGCCACUUCCAACCCCCACAGAAACUAGGUAUUCAGACAAGAGGGGUUGCUCUGAUGGUAAUCAACCCCCACUUCCAACAAAGAGGUUGUUAGUUCGAGUCUCCCCAAGAGCAAGGUGAGAAGUUCUUGGAGGGAAGGAUGCCGGGUGUCUAUUUGGAAACAGCUUCCCUACCCAAGGAUAGGGCUAAGGUCUGCGUACACACUAUCCUCCCUAAACCCCACUAAGUGAGUAACCUCUCUACCCAAGGGUAGGGGUAAGGUCUGCGUACAUACUAUCCUCCCUAGACCCCACUAAGUGAGAUUAUACUGGAUUGUUGUUGUUGUUAAACUAGGUAUUCAACCAAGUGCAUCAUUCAACUUUCUUAGAACAUGUGUACCAACAUAUUAAUACAUACAUAAAAUAUCUAAUUUGACGAAAAUACUAUGGGUUCACGUGUCCCAUAAAUUAUCCUAUAAAUUCGCCCCCUAGCUCAAAGGAACGAGACCAGAAGUUGUUAUAAAAUAGCAUAGCCAAAUAGAAAAAUACAGAUGUGUUAUUGUCGACUAAGACAAACCAGAAAGUCUGAGUCUUUUAAGAUUGGCCAACCAUAGAGCUAAGCAAAGACAGAGAUAUUAAUAAGACUAUUUUAACACACGAACUCUCGACAAAGACAAACCAGAAAGUCUGAGUCUUUUAAGAUUGGACAACCAUAGAGCUAAGCAAAGACAAAGAUAUUAAUAAGACUAUUUUAACACACGAACUGAGAAAACCAACAGUGAUUUUCAAGAACCAAAAAAUGGAUUAAGCUUAAGCAGAGUUGGAAUGGUUGCCAAUAUCGAGCACGAAUCGAUACUUGACAUCAGACUUGAGUAGGCGAUGGACGGCAGUGUUGACAUAGUCCUUUGGCACGACUUCAACAUCUGGUGUUAUAUUAUGCUUUGACGCAAAAUCUAACAUUUCUUGAGUUUCUUUUACUCCUCCUAUGGCACUCCCAGCCACUAGCUUCCUUCCUAUUUUCCACAUUAUUUACGUCAGCAUGAAGUUUAAUAGUUUAAGUUAUAUACACGGACGUAAGAAAGAAAGAAAAAUUAUGUGGCUACCUAAAAUCAAGGGAAACACUGGCAGUUGAAGUGGUUUUACAUAUGCACCAACCAUAACAAGCUUCCCAUGAGGCUUUAACAUACCAAGCAAUGGCAAAAGUGGAUGAUCUGCAGAAACUGUAUCAAUAAUGCCAUCCAUUGUGUUCAAUGCACCCUGUUACAUUAGCCCACAUAAAACGAAGAGUUUACUUCAUGACCUAUUUGUUGACUUGACCUACCAAAUUAAAUCUGAAAUGAUCCAUCAAACUAUUAGGUCAAGACAAGUGAGGCUUGCUCAAUUGGUAAAGCACCUCCACCUAUGACCGUUAGGUCCUGAGUUCGAGUCACCAGGGAGGGAAGUAUGGAAACACUAUAGAUCCUCCUAAUUUGGGAGGAUUUUUUUUUUUUUUAAAAAAACUAUUAGGUCAAAAUAGGGUAACAUGGUGGGUCAAAAUGCAACCCGAAUCUUAAAUAAACAACUUAAAACCAAAUGAGUUUACAAAAAUACAUUAACUUUUAUUGGGUGGGAAGGUUGGGUCACGUUGGGAGGAUUGAGUACAACCUUUUAUUGGGUGGGUGUGGGGUGGAGUUGGGGGUGUUUAGAAAUAGCUAGAUUUUCAAUUGGUAAUUGAAAAAUUGCCGGUCUUAAAAGUAGUCAAAAUUUUUAACCAUUUUUUCAUGUAAAGAUAAAAUUUGAACAAAGCACCCAUAAUAAUUCGGAAAAAUUUAUAGCAUGAUAUGCUGGAGUUCGAAUUUUUUACAUAUGAGAUUCUAGUAUAAUGUGCAGGAAUUUCAUAAUGUAUUGGAGUUCCAACAUAAUAUGCUGGAAGUUUAUACGCAGGAGCUCUAAUGUCCGGCGUAUUAUGCUGGAACUUUUCGUGUACCGGAGUACCAACAUAAUAUGCGAGAAUUUUAUACGCAUGAGCUCCAUAAUCGAGCAUAUUAUAUUGGAACUUUUCGUGUUUCAACAAAAUAAUAGCUAUUUUUUAAUGAUUUUGCAACCGUCGGCUAUUUUUGAAUUACCAGUUCGAAAACUGGUUAGAGCUAUUUUCCAACCAUCUUGACCCAAACAAGUUUUUUACCGGUUCGGUCAUAGACUAAUCAACCGAUUUUGACCCACCAAAUUUGACCCAACACGUCUUUUUUGCCACCUCUAAUUUCAAGCAACAUAGCAUAUACAAUAUCCAUUCAACAAAUGAAAAACCACUGAAUCAUACACACCUGAAUCUCCUGAGGCUGGCUGCUAAGUACAAACAAAUCAGCACCAAGAUGUUGAAGAGCUUCAUCUUUUUUACCAAUAGAGGUACUAAUAACUGUGACUUUAGCUCCAAAAGCCUUGGCAAAUUUAACAGCCAUAUGGCCAAGACCACCGAGACCAACAACACCAAUAUGCAUUCCAGGCUUAUCAAGUCCAAAAUAUUUCAAUGGACUGUAAGUUGUGAUCCCAGCACAUAGUAAAGGAGCAGCUUCUAUAGGCAAAUUAUCAGGCCAAUGAACAACAAAAUGUUCACAUAGGCAAAUUCUCAGGCCAAUGAACAACAAAAUGUUCAUCAGAAACCAUGAUAUCGGAGUAACCUCCAUACGUUACUGUUCCAUUGGAGUUAGUACCAUUAGCAGUCGGUAUUUGACCAGGAC
rnacentral:lncRNA from 1 species